rnacentral:rRNA from 1 species
GAUGAACGCUGGCGGCGUGCCUAAUACAUGCAAGUCGAGCGAAUGGAUUAAGAGCUUGCUCUUAUGAAGUUAGCGGCGGACGGGUGAGUAACACGUGGGUAACCUGCCCAUAAGACUGGGAUAACUCCGGGAAACCGGGGCUAAUACCGGAUAACAUUUUGAACCGCAUGGUUCGAAAUUGAAAGGCGGCUUCGGCUGUCACUUAUGGAUGGAACCGCGUCGCAUUAGCUAGUUGGUGAGGUAACGGCUCACCAAGGCAACGAUGCGUAGCCGACCUGAGAGGGUGAUCGGCCACACUGGGACUGAGACACGGCCCAGACUCCUACGGGAGGCAGCAGUAGGGAAUCUUCCGCAAUGGACGAAAGUCUGACGGAGCAACGCCGCGUGAGUGAUGAAGGCCUUCGGGUCGUAAAACUCUGUUGUUAGGGAAGAACAAGUGCUAGUUGAAUAAGCUGGCACCUUGACGGUACCUAACCAGAAAGCCACGGCUAACUACGUGCCAGCCGCCGCGGUAA